rnacentral:misc_RNA from 1 species
GUUAUCUAAAGAAAAAAAAGACAGAAUUAGAUUCCUCUUUAUUCUUUGGCAUUUUAUGAACGAUAAAGUAGCUCAAAUUGUGCAUUUUAAUAUAUUUUCAUGUGAGAUUAAAUACAUUUUCUUAAUUCAGUUUAAAUUUUUUUUAAAAAAAUUUGAUUAAAUUAUUUAUUUCGAAAAUUUAAUUUAAUUUUUUAACUUCAAAAAAAUUAAUUUAUUCGGCUCAAUUCAGACUUAAAUUAAUCCAUGCUUGCCCUUUCAAUUCCUCGUGGAUCAUCACAGCAUGAGAACGGAGACCAAUGUCGGAUCCCGCUAUCCGAAACCCGGACCAAUAGCCCAAUACUCUGUUAUGAUAAGAAUCCAAACCAUACAAUUCAUAAAAUGGAAACGAGAGACAAAAUUCAAACGAAGUUGACGAACCCAAGGCUGAAGCCGAUUAACGCUCGGCAAAGGUAAGUUUCGGUUAACCAAAGAUGCCGUAAACCAGAGAGCGCUACCCCUCUUUGCGUCAUUCACUGCCAAUCUCAGAUAAGUUUGCCUCCACUUCUCUUCUCUUCUCUGGAGUUUUCUACAACACUAUGCGGAGAAAGAACUGCAUUCCUUGCGCUUCAAAUUUGAACGCAACUGUGCAAUUUCUUCAGUUUCAUUCUGCCCGUGAACUAAAUGAUUUUGAUCGCUUAUGGUUUAGGAACUGUGAUUAUGAUUUUUAAUGUCUAGUUUGUCACAAAAUUUUUUAGGAUAUUAUGGUCUCAUCGAAUAUCAGGGACCUCUUUACCGCAUUUAGUCCUUCAUUGGAUUACUUCGUAAUCAGUUCUGGAGAUGGUUGAAUAAGGGUAUCUGAACACUGAACUCUCUUUGAAUUUCUUCAAAUGAUUGGAAAGUUAUCAAAUUGGGAUUGGUAAUGCUGAAUAUAUUUUUAGCCCAUCUGUUAUUAGAUAAUUCUGCUCCAGUUUUGUUUUCUAUUAUGGGUUAAAACUUGAAAGCUGAGUAUCAAUAUCAUUUAUUCAACUAAAAAAGAGCUUUUUGUUUGGAUGUUGAAUUUACUAUUUCUGCUUUCCCCUUCUCGGAUAUGGGAUACGGUGAAGGGCCAGGUGCAAACUGAGUUUGCAGACAUAACAUCAGAUGAUGCAAAUUUGUAUACUAAACCUGAUCGAGGUCACCUUUCAGUUGAUUAUAAAUGCAUGAAGUGGUUGUCCCUUGACAGUAAGGUUCAUGAUUUUUUUGAAUUUAUGCAAAAAAGUGGCUUCAUUAUUGCAGUUCCAAGUGUGUAACCUAGAUUUUUCUGGCGUACCUUAUUUAAUUUCAUAUAAAAUAUUUUAAUGUAUUUUUAAGUGAUAUUUUUUACACUAUUUUUUUAAAAAAUAUUUAUAUCUUAUCAAGUUAAAGUAGACUUUUAGUUUUUCCUCUUAUUUUAGCGGUUGACAAUUUUUAAAAUUUUUUUUUUCAAACUUUUUAAUUUUAAUUAUAUUUUAUGGCAUUAAAAUUUGUAAUAUUAUAAAUAAUGUAAAUAAUUAAGUGUAUUUUUAUCCCCUCACACAUAUAUAUGGAAUUAUUUAUUUUCUAAAUAUUAAUAUAAAAAAUUAUCAUAGCUAAAAAAGAGUUUAAGAAUUUUGUGAUGUUAGAAUUAUGAUUUUAUUUGAAUUAUGAUUUAACUGCAAUUUAAAUAUUCAUGAAAAUUGCAGAAAAAAAGGAAGCUAGGAAGUUGUUAUUGGUAUUAGGAACAAGAAGUGGUGUGUGUCUGCUGGUCAAUUGAAGUGGACAGUCAGUGAUUGCCAUUCUGGGGGUAUCACUGCUAUUUCAUUUUCUAUGCAAGAUUCAUGCAUUUACACUGCUGGUGCUGAUGGAAUGGUUUGCAAAAUUGAUCCACAAAGAGGAAAUAUCUCAGGGAAGUUUAAAGCUUCUUCAAAGGCGAUAUCCUCUAUGUCUGUUUCACCAGAUGGGAAGAUAUUAGCCACUGCAGCUAAACAGUUGACAGUUUUCAGUUCUGAUCACAAAAAGAUACAGAAAUUUUCCGGUCAUCCUGGAGUUGUUCAUGCUAUGUUCUUUACUGAAGACAAGAAAUACAUUCUUUCAUCUGCUGUCAGUGAAAGACACAUUGCAUUAUGGAGAACAGAUGGUGGCAAAAACCAGUCAGCAAGCUGUGUCCUGGCAAUGGAACACCCUGCGAUAUUCCUUGAUAGCAGGCACAUAAAAAAUGAGGGAGCUGCUGCGGGCUUAUGUGUAUUGGUCAUUUCAGAAACUGGUGUUUGUUCAAGCCCACAAAAGUCACGAUGUCUAUUGAAGAAUCUUUUUCCAAAAAUCACAAGGAUGCAUUAUAUACAAUACUUGCUGCAAAAUUACAAGGCAUUUGCAAACCAACGGCUGCAAAUGUGUUUAUUGCCUAUGGUUUACUUGUUAAACCUUUGUUUCAGAAAAUAGUAGUGCAUUCUGGCACAGACAUAAAGCUGAAUAGCUCCCAGGAUGGAGUUCUUUUACCAAUGAAUCAGUCUCUCAUCAAAUCUAAGAUAGGGACAGAUAUACAGAAAGGAGUUGAUGCAUUAGACCAUGCCAAUGUGGAGGCUGCCUUGCUUCCUAUUCCAAAAGCUUCUGAUUUCCAUGACAAAAGGAUGAGAGAUAAAGCUUUAAGCAACAACUCUGAUGAGGUCAUGGUGGAUUCGAUUGAUGGUAGGAUUCAACCUGAAUUUGUGGAGAAUAAAGGUAAUUGUAGGAAUAUUAUGAAAAUAUGUGUGUUAAUCCUCCUUUAUCAAGCCAUUUUCUUCUGUUCAAUUUGAUUGUUGUAAUUAUUGAACACAAGACAGGCCCCUAUGUGAUUAACUAUAUACUUUUUGUGAGUGUUUCAGGUGACUCGGAUUGUUACCUGGUAUUUGAAACUGUGGUUGUCUUCCUUACUAAACACAUACUAAAUUGUGUUCUCUUCUUUCAGAUCACCAAAUCUAGAGGGGUAGCUAUUCAACCUUUACUACAGUUAUCAGAUUGACAAGGCUUCACUGAACAAAAUUCAAUCCUCUUUGUGUAAUGUCCAAAUGGAUAAUGACAAUUACAAUGAUGACAAUGAAGACAUUGAUGAAUGUCUUUAUGGGGAAGACAAUGAUGAAUCUCAAUUGAGUAGUGAUGAUGAUAAGCAGAUGCAAUCUCCAUAAUAGGUGAACAUGCUUGUCAGAUUAAUGUAUUUUUAGAUUAUUUAUCUUUUGUCAAGGAGCUUGGCUUAGUUAGGAGGUGAAUUUUGCAUAGUGGUGAUAAUUUAGAUCUCUUCCACACUUGCAUUAUUUUGGAUUAGGUUUUGCGAUUAUGAUUUUAGAGAGCUGAACUUUUAGUUAUUUGUAGGUCGAUGUUACAAAAAAACUUGUGUGUUGGAACUGGAAGAUCGUUAUUUUGAUCAGAGGUGAGGAACUGGAGUUAUGCAUUUGGGUGGGGUAAGUCAAAAUAACCUGUGGGUGGCUAAAAGGGUGGGGAUCAUA